UCGGAGAGUUUGAUCCUGGCUCAGGACGAACGCUGGCGGCGUGCCUAAUACAUGCAAGUCGAGCGAAUCGACGGGAGCUUGCUCCCUGAGAUUAGCGGCGGACGGGUGAGUAACACGUGGGCAACCUGCCUAUAAGACUGGGAUAACUUCGGGAAACCGGAGCUAAUACCGGAUACGUUCUUUUCUCGCAUGAGAGAAGAUGGAAAGACGGUUUACGCUGUCACUUAUAGAUGGGCCCGCGGCGCAUUAGCUAGUUGGUGAGGUAAUGGCUCACCAAGGCGACGAUGCGUAGCCGACCUGAGAGGGUGAUCGGCCACACUGGGACUGAGACACGGCCCAGACUCCUACGGGAGGCAGCAGUAGGGAAUCUUCCGCAAUGGACGAAAGUCUGACGGAGCAACGCCGCGUGAACGAAGAAGGCCUUCGGGUCGUAAAGUUCUGUUGUUAGGGAAGAACAAGUACCAGAGUAACUGCUGGUACCUUGACGGUACCUAACCAGAAAGCCACGGCUAACUACGUGCCAGCAGCCGCGGUAAUACGUAGGUGGCAAGCGUUGUCCGGAAUUAUUGGGCGUAAAGCGCGCGCAGGUGGUU
rnacentral:rRNA from 1 species